AACUUACCAGGUCAAGACAUGGGCGUGAUUGACAGGCUAAUGACUUUUCUCGAUUCCAUGGAUGGUGGUGCAUGGUCGCACUUAGUUGGUGCAGUGAUUUGUCAGGUUUAUUCCGGUAACGAACGAGACCUCGGCCUUGUAAAUAGCUAUGCUGCUUACAGGGACAUUGGCGGCUACGCCAAGGAAGCUCGAGGCAAUUGCAGAUCUGGAAUGCCCUUAGAUGUCCUGGGUCGCACGCGUGCUACAAUGACGCCACGAACGAGCUUGCGUGAUGAAAGUUACGCAUAAUCAGCAGUCGGCGUCUUAAGGGAUAGUCUCUUGUAACUGUGGGACUCCAACUAGGAAUGUCUCGUAAGCACAAGUCAACAUCUUGUGUUGAUUACGUCCCUGCUCUUUGUACACACCGCCCGUCGCUCCUACCGAUCGAGUGUUUAGGUGAAUUUGAUGGACGUAAGGAAGUCAAAUAAACCUGAGCACUAGAGAAGAGAAGUCGAACAGCC
rnacentral:rRNA from 1 species